CGCCUGGACCACGGCGCCUCUUCUGGAAGGGAAAGUAAACCAAAUCAAGUUUCAUGUUUAUGCUUGAACAAAAUAAAAGCUACACUGAGGACCAAAUCCCUCUUUUUUCAGGUGUCAUAAUUCAACAGAUGUAAACCGUGCCUGGCUGCAUACAGAUGUCGGAGCCGGACUGCUUCUCCCCAGUCAUUUGCCAAAUGUGGACCA